rnacentral:rRNA from 1 species
GACGAACGCUGGCGGCGUGCUUAACACAUGCAAGUCGAACGAAGAGCGAUGGAAGCUUGCUUCUAUCAAUCUUAGUGGCGAACGGGUGAGUAACGCGUAAUCAACCUGCCCUUCAGAGGGGGACAACAGUUGGAAACGACUGCUAAUACCGCAUACGAUCUAAUCUCGGCAUCGAGGAUAGAUGAAAGGUGGCCUCUACAUGUAAGCUAUCACUGAAGGAGGGGAUUGCGUCUGAUUAGCUAGUAGGAGGGGUAACGGCCCACCAAGGCGAUGAUCAGUAGCCGGUCUGCGAGGAUGGACAGCCACAUUGGGACUGAGACACGGCCCAGAGUCCUACGGGAGGCAGCAGUAGGGCAUCUUCCGCAAUGGACGAGAGUCUGACGGAGCAACGCCGCGUGAGUGAUGACGGCCUUCGGGUUGUAGAGCUCUGUUAAUCGGGACGAAAGGCCUUCUUGCGAAUAGUGAGAAGGAUUGACGGUACCGGAAUAGAAAGCCACGGCUAACUACGUG